AAUAAAUGCAGUUUUGCACGGUUCAUGUCUAACCGUUCGUCUUAUUUAAAAUUUUUUUACGAUUAAUAUUUUUAUUGUUAUUAGAUGAUAAAACAUAAACAGUACUUUAUGUGCGACUAACUUUUUUUAAUUUUCUCAUAAAAUUUUUAAAUAAGAUGGACGGUCAAAGGUUGGACACGGAUUCUAGGGAUGAAAACGGA
rfam:Oryza glumipatula chromosome 1, whole genome shotgun sequence.